rnacentral:rRNA from 1 species
ACGAAGGGGGCUAGCGUUGUUCGGAAUCACUGGGCGUAAAGCGCGCGUAGGCGGACCGUUAAGUCGGGGGUGAAAUCCUGGGGCUCAACCCCAGAACAGCCUUCGAUACUGGCGGUCUCGAGUCCGGGAGAGGUGAGUGGAACUGCCAGUGUAGAGGUGAAAUUCGUAGAUAUUGGCAAGAACACCAGUGGCGAAGGCGGCUCACUGGCCCGGUACUGACGCUGAGGUGCGAAAGCGUUGGGAGCAAAAAG